rnacentral:rRNA from 1 species
CCCUUAGAUGUUCUGGGCCGCACGCGUGCUACACUGAGUGGAUCAGCGGGUCAGGUUGCGCGAAAGCGUUUCCUAAUCUUUAAAUCCGCUCGUGAUGGGGAUUGACGGUUGCAAUUUUCUGUCAUGAACGAGGAAUACCUUGUAAGCGCGGGUCAUCAUCCCGCGCUGAAUACGUCCCUGCCCUUUGUACACACCGCCCGCCGCUCCUACCGAUUGAGUGGUCCGGUGAGGCUUUGGGAUCUGAGCGGAAAGAGCGUUUCGCUGUUUCUGCCCGGAAAACUCAGUCGAACCUUAUCAUUUAGAGGAAGGAGAAGUCGUAACA